UGAAUGGGAUGUCAUAGCUUCUAAAUGG
rnacentral:piRNA from 1 species